rnacentral:SRP_RNA from 2 species
GGCUUGGAUCUAUGCGGCUGCAACGCCUAAAUCUUGUCAGGACCGGAAGGUAGCAGCAACACGGGAUGCUUGUAGUAGGCGUAGUCUCCGAGCCGCC